rfam:Anaeromyces robustus strain S4 BCR32scaffold_40, whole genome shotgun sequence.
GCCUGUGUGGCCUAAUGGAUAAGGCAUUGCCCUCCUAAGGCAAGGACUGUGGGUUCGAGUCCCAUCUCAGGUG